AUUGAACGCUGGCGGCAGGCCUAACACAUGCAAGUCGAACGGUAACAGGAAACAGCUUGCUGUUUCGCUGACGAGUGGCGGACGGGUGAGUAAUGUCUGGGAAACUGCCUGAUGGAGGGGGAUAACUACUGGAAACGGUAGCUAAUACCGCAUAACGUCGCAAGACCAAGAGGGGGACCUUCGGGCCUCUUGCCAUCGGAUGUGCCCAGAUGGGAUUAGCUAGGAGGUGGGGUAACGGCUCACCUAGGCGACGAUCCCUAGCUGGUCUGAGAGGAUGACCAGCCACACUGGAACUGAGACACGGUCCAGACUCCUACGGGAGGCAGCAGUGGGGAAUAUUGCACAAUGGGCGCAAGCCUGAUGCAGCCAUGCCGCGUGUAUGAAGAAGGCCUUCGGGUUGUAAAGUACUUUCAGCGGGGAGGAAGGGGGUAAAGUCAAUACCUUUGCUCAUUGACGUUACCCGCAGAAGAAGCACCGGCUAACUCCGUGCCAGCAGCCGCCGUAA
rnacentral:rRNA from 1 species